UGGGGAAUAUUGCGCAAUGGAGGAAACUCUGACGCAGCGACGCCGCGUGGGUGAUGAAGGCCUUCGGGUUGUAAAGCCCUGUCGGCUGGGAAAAAGGUAGUCGUGCUAAUACCACGAUUGCUUGAUGGUACCAGCAAAGGAAGCACCGGCUAACUCUGUGCCAGCAGCCGCGGUAAUACAGAGGGUGCAAGCGUUGUUCGGAAUUACUGGGCGUAAAGGGCGCGUAGGCGGCUUGGUAAGUCAGAUGUGAAAUCCCGGGGCUUAACUCCGGAAGUGCAUUUGAAACUGCCAGGCUAGAGUACAGUAGAGGUUGGUGGAAUUCCCAGUGUAGAGGUGAAAUUCGUAGAUAUUGGGAGGAACACCAGUGGCGAAGGCGGCCAACUGGGCUGUAACUGACGCUGAGGCGCGAAAGCGUGGGGAGCAAACAGGAUUAGAUACCCGCGUAGUCC
rnacentral:rRNA from 1 species